rnacentral:rRNA from 1 species
UACAGAGGGUGCAAGCGUUAAUCGGAAUUACUGGGCGUAAAGGGUGUGUAGGUGGUUAUAUAAGUUAGAUGUGAAAUCCCCGGGCUCAACCUGGGAACUGCGUUUAAGACUGUAUAACUAGAGUACUGUAGAGGAUAGUGGAAUUUCCAGUGUAGCGGUGAAAUGCGUAGAUAUUGGAAGGAACACCAGUGGCGAAGGCGACUAUCUGGACAGAUACUGACACUGAGACACGAAAGCGUGGGGAGCAAACAGGAUUAGAUACCCUGGUAGUCCAUGCUGUAAACUAUGAGAACUUGCUGUUGGAUGCAUAAAGGCAUUUAGUAGCGAAGCAAACGCGUUAAGUUCUCCGCCUGGGGAGUACGGUCGCAAGACUAAA